rnacentral:rRNA from 1 species
CCUCAGUAACGGCGAGUGAAGCGGCAACAGCUCAAAUUUGAAAUCUGGCGCAAGCCCGAGUUGUAAUUUGCAGAGGAUGUUUCGGGUGAAGCCACGGUCCAAGUCCCUUGGAACAGGACGUCAUAGAGGGUGAGAACCCCGUACCUGGCCGUCGGUGCCCCCCGCUGUGAAACUCCUUCGACGAGUCGAGUUGUUUGGGAAUGCAGCUCUAAAUUGGUGGUAAAUUCCAUCUAAAGCUAAAUACCGGCCAGAGACCGAUAGCGCACAAGUAGAGUGAUCGAAAGAUGAAAAGCACUUUGAAAAGAGAGUUAAAAAGUACGUGAAAUUGUUGAAAGGGAAGCGCUUGCGGCCAGACUUGCCCGCGGUUGCUCAGCCCGCCUUUUGGCGGGUGCACUCUUCCGCGGUCAGGCCAGCAUCGGUUUGGGCGGUCGGAUAAAGGCGUCGGGAACGUGGCCUCCCCUCGGGGAGGUGUUAUAGCCCGGCGCGCAAUGCGGCCAGCCCGGACCGAGGUUCGCGCUUUGCUAGGAUGCUGGCGUAAUGGCCGUAAGCGGCCCGUCUUGAAACACGGACCAAGGAGUCUAACAUCUAUGCGAGUGUUUGGGUGUCAAACCCGUGCGCGUAAUGAAAGUGAACGGAGGUGGGAACCGCAAGGUGCACCAUCGACCGAUCCUGAUGUCUUCGGAAGGAUUUGAGUAAGAGCAUAGCUGUUGGGACCCGAAAGAUGGUGAACUAUGCGUGAAUAGGGUGAAGCCAGAGGAAACUCUGGUGGAGGCUCGCAGCGGUUCUGACGUGCAAAUCGAUCGUCAAAUUUGCGUAUAGGGGCGAAAGACUAAUCGAACCAUUUGCAAACAGCAAUACUAGAUGGUCAAAGGGCGGAGAGCCUUAGUCCCCACGGGGGCCACACUGCCAAACUGCGGGGAACGCCCACAGCCGGACGCCACCGCCCCCCCGCCGCGAGGUGGGAGGGGCACCCCGUUUACUCGGGGGCAUGGUAACAGCGCGCCCGGCGGGUCGAUCCGCAGCCGUCCCCCGAUCCGUCGGGGGGUGGUUCACAGACUAGACGGCGGUGGGCGCGGCGAGCGCUUAAGAUAUAGUCGAUCCAGCCCCUCAAGGGGCCGAGAGUAGUAGCUGGUUCCUGCCGAAGUUUCCCUCAGGAUAGCAGUAACGUUUUCAGUUUUAUGAGGUAAAGCGAAUGAUUAGAGGCCUGGGGGUUGAAACUAACCUUCACCUAUUCUCAAACUUUAAAUAUGUAAGAAGUCCUUGUUACUUAGUUGAACGUGGACAUUUGAAUGCACCGUUACUAGUGGGCCAUUUUUGGUAAGCAGAACUGGCGAUGCGGGAUGAACCGAACGGGGGGUUAAGGUGCCGGAAUGCACGCUCAUCAGACACCACAAAAGGUGUUGGUUCAUCUAGACAGCAGGACGGUGGCCAUGGAAGUCGGAAUCCGCUAAGGAGUGUGUAACAACUCACCUGCCGAAUGAACCAGCCCUGAAAAUGGAUGGCGCUCAAGCGUGCUACCCAUACCCCCCCUCCGCGGCAGGCUUUAUGCCGCGGAGAGUAGGCAGGCGUGGAGGCCCGUGACGAAGCCCAGGGGGUGA